AUUGAACGCUGGCGGCAGGCCUAACACGUGCAAGUCGAGCGGAUGAAGGGAGCUUGCUCCUGGAUUCAGCGGCGGACGGGUGAGUAAUGCCUAGGAAUCUGCCUGGUAGUGGGGGAUAACGUCCGGAAACGGGCGCUAAUACCGCAUACGUCCUGAGGGAGAAAGUGGGGGAUCUUCGGACCUCACGCUAUCAGAUGAGCCUAGGUCGGAUUAGCUAGUUGGUGGGGUAAAGGCCUACCAAGGCGACGAUCCGUAACUGGUCUGAGAGGAUGAUCAGUCACACUGGAACUGAGACACGGUCCAGACUCCUACGGGAGGCAGCAGUGGGGAAUAUUGGACAAUGGGCGAAAGCCUGAUCCAGCCAUGCCGCGUGUGUGAAGAAGGUCUUCGGAUUGUAAAGCACUUUAAGUUGGGAGGAAGGGCAGUAAGUUAAUACCUUGCUGUUUUGACGUUACCAACAGAAUAAGCGCCGGCUAACUUCGU
rnacentral:rRNA from 1 species